UCGACAACCGAGAGAUCGGCGUUCCCCUUCGGGGGACAGGGUGACAGGUGGUGCAUGGUUGUCGUCAGCUCGUGUCGUGAGAUGUUGGGUUAAGUCCCGCAACGAGCGCAACCCUCGACCUUAGUUGCCAGCAUUCAGUUGGGCACUCUAAGGUGACUGCCGGCUAAAAGUCGGAGGAAGGUGGGGAUGACGUCAAAUCAUCAUGCCCUUAUGACCUGGGCUACACACGUGCUACAAUGGGCGGUACAAAGGGUCGCGAACCCGCGAGGGGGAGCCAAUCCCAAAAAGACCGCUCUCAGUUCGGAUUGCAGGCUGCAACUCGCCUGCAUGAAGCCGGAAUCGCUAGUAAUCGCGGAUCAGCACGCCGCGGUGAAUACGUUCCCGGGCCUU
rnacentral:rRNA from 1 species